CACGUCAGCACGCUUUGCUGACGUGGCAACAAAUCGCGUCCACGAGGGGGUGAUUUGUUGCCACGUCAGCAAAGCGCGCUGACGUGG
rfam:Gossypium hirsutum cultivar TM-1 chromosome 14, whole genome shotgun sequence